ACGUGAUCUGAGUUCAGACCGGAGUAAUCCAGGUCGGUUUCUAUCUAUAAAGGGCUUUUUCUAGUACGAAAGGACCGAAAAAGCACGGCCCAUGCCCAAAGUAAGCCGCACCAAUGAUUUAUGAUUAAAACUCAAUAAACAGUCGACCUCCCACUCUAUUCUAGACAAGAAUA
rnacentral:rRNA from 1 species